rnacentral:rRNA from 1 species
UACGUAGGCAGCGAGCGUUGUUCGGAGUUACUGGGCGUAAAGCGUGCGUAGGCGGUUUUGUAAGUUUGGUGUGAAAUCUCCCGGCUCAACUGGGAGGGUGCGCCGAAAACUGCAAGGCUGGAGUGUGGGAGAGGUAGGCGGAAUUCCUGGUGUAGCGGUGAAAUGCGCAGAUAUCAGGAGGAACACCGGUGGCGAAGGCGGGUCUCUGGGCAACAACUGACGCUGAGGAGCGAAAGCGUGGGGAGCGAACAGG